GGGAAGCAGCACUGAGAGCCCCUGGCUUGUGCUGGAGGCCGUGCAGACAGGGUGUUCCUCGCUGGUUCAGUGUAAAUAGCUGAGCACUGGAGUCUGGGCAACACUGACAGAGAAGCUGAAAAAUAAGAGCUAGUCCUGCAGGAAUGACUCAUUCUGGCAUGGGAUUUGCAGAGCGGGAUGAGAAGUUCAGGGGUUACACCAGCCAAGUUCAGACAGAGCAGCACUGGAGUUUUGACAGAACUCAGGGCUAUUUGCAGCCAGGUUUCUCCAUCAAGGACAACAUGUUUUCUCCUAAGUGUCUUCCUUCAGUAAGAACCUUCCAUCAAGGGCUACUCAACAUUUGGCAACCCAGAAGGUAGGAAUCAUCCUACAGCAGCAGCCUG
ensembl:lncRNA